CAAACUCAUAAAGGCAUACGGUGGGUUUCUCACUAUAGACUUCAUUCAGUCCAAUUUGGAAUAGAAGGCCGCCGCCCAAUUUUAGCCGUUUUUCACUUUUCCCUAUAUCGAGUUGCGCUUCACCUUUCCUUGCCUAACUCACCCCACCGUUCCGUCUGUCGUUGCCCUUUACUCUCCGGUCUCUCCCUCUCUCAACUCUUUCCGAACGCGCUAGGAGUUCCCUAAACAAAAACCCCAACUCUCUAGCUUGCUAUUAAACACAUUCUCUCUCCGGUAAAGAUUGAAUUCUUCUUCCUUUUCUUUCACUCAGUUCGCUCACUUGGGGUUAGGGUUUCGUAAAUUGCCUGCCCAAUCCUCUUCCCCUAUCUGUAAUGCUUCAAAUUCCACCCGAGAUUCGCCAAUGUACACUCCCUCGCAGCCUAUGAACGUUCACAAUCAGAUCGUCUCUCCUGGCGUUGACGAAGACGGUGCCCCAGCGGAUCCUAUCGACCACCACCAUCACAUUCACUACGAAGACGGCACUCCUGCAGUCGUGGUCGAAGACGUCUCUCCCGAUUCCGUCUACGUUACCGCCGGUGUCGCUGCGUCGGAACUCGGGAUUCAGCCUAGUGAUGGUUCGAGUCAGCUCACCCUGACGUUUCGUGGACAAGUUUAUGUUUUCGAUUCCGUUACUCCUGACAAGGUUCAAGCUGUAUUGUUAUUACUGGGAGGAUGUGAAUUAACUCCUGGUCUGGAAAUGACUCCUCAAAAUCAAAGGGGUGUGGCGGAGUACCCACCGCGGUGUACUCAACCUCAACGAGCAGCUUCAUUAAGUAGGUUCCGGCAGAAGAGAAAAGAGCGAUGCUUUGAUAAGAAAGUUAGAUAUGGUGUCCGUCAGGAGGUUGCACUCAGGAUGCAGCGGAAUAAGGGUCAAUUCACCUCUGCCAAGAAGUCUGAGGGAGGAUAUGGCUGGGAUGGUGGUCAGGAUUCAGCACAAGAUGAUAGCCAACAUGAAACCUCGUGUACACAUUGUGGCACUAAUUCAAAAUCCACUCCAAUGAUGCGGCGUGGUCCAUCUGGUCCAAGGUCUCUUUGCAAUGCCUGUGGGCUUUUUUGGGCAAACAGAAAAAAGGCUGUUCUUGUUUGCUUUGCUUUAAAUUCUAUCUGCACGCUACAAUUUAUUGGAAAGAUGACUCGGUUGUAACGUUCUCUUCUAAUAAUGUUCACCUCUCCAAAGUCCAAUUUUGUCUAAAUUCAUUUCAUGCCAUCCAAAAUAAACAGAACAUUAUGCAACCCCCGCCUUAUUUAAAAAAUAGACAUUGGAUUCCGUAUUUGACUAAUAAAACUCUGCAGGGAACUUUGAGAGAUCACUCCAAGAAAGCCCUGGAGCAUUCUGUGGCUCCAAUUGAUCUGGGUGAAACAGAAGCCAACGAAUCGGACUCUGUCCCUGCUAUCGAUACACAUAACAAUCCUGUUACGCAAAUGGUGGUGAUACAGCCUUAAUAACAGAUCAUUGACCGAGUUUCUGAGUUGUAUUUCAAGAAUGGCUACUGUAAUCGGAAUCAAUUCAUGUUGAAGGUUUUAUAGCAAUUAA